rnacentral:lncRNA from 1 species
GUAAAAUUGUUCUCUUUGAGCAGAAACGUAUUUAUUAUUACAUCCAUUGAAGAGAUGAAUUAAAAGCAAAUUAUUAACCAUAUCUGUUUUUUUAUAGAUUCAAACGUGUAGAAGCUAUUCCACCACCGAAUUUCAGAGAACGAUUUCUAUAUUGAUACGGAAAGACUCUCAGAAAAUCAAUAUGUCACAGGAUUCUGAAGUCAACGGUCACGUUUGUGCAAAGCUACCAUACAAGAUCCUAGAGGAUAAGGAUCUUGGACGGCACGUGGUGGCCACUCGUGACAUGGAGGUCGGAGAGGUGGUGCUGGAGGAAAUGCCAUUGGUGAUGGGCCCUGCACAAGCGACUGAACCCGUGUGUCUUGGUUGUUUGAACGCCCUGCAGAAGGGACAAAUUGAGAGUGCGAGCGAUGUGGUUGGCCAGUUUGCUCACAGAAGUGCGCUGCGUCCAAGCACCAUAGAGCCGAGUGCGACUGGACUAUCAACAAGCGAGGACAGAAGGUAA